rnacentral:rRNA from 1 species
UACGUAGGGGGCAAGCGUUGUCCGGAUUUAUUGGGCGUAAAGAGCGUGUAGGCGGCCAGACAGGUCAGCUGUGAAAACUCGAGGCUCAACCUCGAGACGUCGGUUGAAACCGUCUGGCUAGAGUCCGGAAGAGGAGAGUGGAAUUCCCGGUGUAGCGGUGAAAUGCGUAGAUAUCGUAAGGAAGACCAGUGGCGAAGGCGGGUCUCUGGACAGUUCCUGACGCUGAGGCACGAAGGUCAGGGGAGCAAACGGG